rnacentral:lncRNA from 1 species
GCAAACAGCCCGCCCGGCACCACCAUGCUCGCCCUGGAGGCUGCACAGCUCGACGGGCCACACUUCAGCUGUCUGUACCCAGAUGGCGUCUUCUAUGACCUGGACAGCUGCAAGCAUUCCAGCUACCCUGAUUCAGAGGGGGCUCCUGGUGAGUGACCCCAGCCCUGUGCCCUUCCUGCCUUGGGGCCCAUUUCACAGAUAGGGGAGCUGAGGCCCAGGGGAGGUCAUUUCCUAGCACAACAGGAUAAAGGUGGCCCGGGCCUAUAGCCCUCCUCCCCUUUCCUCUCCUACCCAUCCGCUCCUCCAUGCAAAUCCUGGGGUCAGAGAUUUGCACAGCCUACAAUGGCCUCUCUGUGCUGGGGGCUUCGACUGCGAGGAGGCCUCCGUGAGACAUCCCAGCUUCUGACUCAGUGCCCUUCCCCCAGACUCCCUGUGGGACUGGACUGUGGCCCCACCUGUCCCAGCCACCCCCUAUGAAGCCUUCGACCCGGCAGCAGCCGCUUUUAGCCACCCCCAGGCUGCCCAGCUCUGCUACGAACCCCCCACCUACAGCCCUGCAGGGAACCUCGAACUGGCCC